rnacentral:misc_RNA from 1 species
ACAAACUUGGUCAUUUAGAGGAAGUAAAAGUCGUAACAAGGUCUCCGUUGGUGAACCAGCGGAGGGAUCAUUACAGAGUUAAUCUUCUACUCUUUAACCCAUGUGAACUUACCACUUUGUUGCCUCGGCGGCAUCAAGGCCACAGCGCUGUAACAGGCGCUGGGGCUGGGCCGCCGGUGGACCACUAAACUCUGUUAUACUUGUAUCUCUGAGUAAACUUGAUAAUAAAUCAAAACUUUCAACAACGGAUCUCUUGGUUCUGGCAUCGAUGAAGAACGCAGC